rnacentral:rRNA from 1 species
CCUACGGGAGGCAGCAGUGAGGAAUAUUGGUCAAUGGACGAGAGUCUGAACCAGCCAAGUAGCGUGAAGGAUGACUGCCCUAUGGGUUGUAAACUUCUUUUAUAAAGGAAUAAAACGAGGCACGUGUGCCUUGUUGCAUGUACUCUAUGAAUAAGGAUCGGCCAACUCCGUGCCAGCAGCCGCGGUAAUACGGAGGAUCCAGGCGUUAGCCGGUUUUAUUGGGUUUAAAGGGAGCGUAGAUGGGUUGUUAAGUCAGUUGUGAAAGUUCGGGGCUCAACCGUAAAAUUGCAAUUGAUACUGGGAGUCUUGAGUACAGUAGAGGUAGGCGGAAUUCGUGGUGUAGCGGUGAAAUGCUUAGAUAUCACGAAGAACCCCGAUUGCGAAGGCAGCUUACUAGACUGUGACUGACAUUGAUGCUCGAAAGUGUGGGUAUCAAACAGGAUUAGAUACCCGUGUAGUC